rnacentral:rRNA from 1 species
AAUGAACGCUGGCGGCAGGCCUAACACAUGCAAGUCGAACGAGACCUUCGGGUCUAGUGGCGCACGGGUGCGUAACGCGUGGGAAUCUGCCCUUAGGUACGGAAUAACUCAGAGAAAUUUGUGCUAAUACCGUAUGAUGUCGAAAGACCAAAGAUUUAUCGCCUAAGGAUGAGCCCGCGUAAGAUUAGCUUGUUGGUGAGGUAAAAGCUCACCAAGGCGACGAUCUUUAGCUGGUCUGAGAGGAUGAUCAGCCACACUGGGACUGAGACACGGCCCAGACUCCUACGGGAGGCAGCAGUGGGGAAUAUUGGACAAUGGGCGAAAGCCUGAUCCAGCAAUGCCGCGUGAGUGAUGAAGGCCUUAGGGUUGUAAAGCUCUUUUACCAGGGAUGAUAAUGACAGUACCUGGAGAAUAAGCUCCGGCUAACUCCGUGCCAGCCGCCGCGGUAA